rnacentral:rRNA from 1 species
GUCGAGGGGUAUAGUUCUUCGGAAUUAGAGACCGGCGCACGGGUGCGUAACGCGUAUGCAAUCUACCUUUUACAGAGGGAUAGCCCAGAGAAAUUUGGAUUAAUACCUCAUAGUAUGUGAGAAUGGCAUCAUUUUCACAUUAAAGUCACAACGGUAAAGGAUGAGCAUGCGUCCCAUUAGCUAGUUGGUAAGGUAACGGCUUACCAAGGCUACGAUGGGUAGGGGUCCUGAGAGGGAGAUCCCCCACACUGGUACUGAGACACGGACCAGACUCCUACGGGAGGCAGCAGUGAGGAAUAUUGGACAAUGGGCGCAAGCCUGAUCCAGCCAUGCCGCGUGCAGGAUGACGGUCCUAUGGAUUGUAAACUGCUUUUGUACGGGAAGAAACACUCCUUCGUGAAGGAGCUUGACGGUACCGUAAGAAUAAGGAUCGGCUAACUCCGUGCCAGCAGCCGCGGUAAUACGGAGGAUCCAAGCGUUAUCCGGAAUCAUUGGGUUUAAAGGGUCCGUAGGCGGUUUAGUAAGUCAGUGGUGAAAGCCCAUCGCUCAACGGUGGAACGGCCAUUGAUGCUGCUAGACUUGAAUUAUUAGGAAGUAACUAGAAUAUGUAGUGUAGCGGUGAAAUGCUUAGAGAUUACAUGGAAUACCAAUUGCGAAGGCAGGUUACUACUAAUGGAUUGACGCUGAUGGACGAAAGCGUGGGUAGCGAACAGGAUUAGAUACCCUGGUAGUCCACGCCGUAAACGAUGGAUACUAGCUGUUGGGAGCGAUCUCAGUGGCUAAGCGAAAGUGAUAAGUACCC